UAAUUAAUUUUAAUCAAUAAAAUAAAAAAUAUUUCAACCAUAUGGUCCUUUCGUACUAAUAUGAAUUAAUAAUCUUAGGAUAGAAACCGACCUGGCUCACGCCGGUCUGAACUCAGAUCAUGUAAGAAUUUAAAGGUCGAGCAGACCUAAUUACUGGGCUACUGCACCCAAAAUUUUUCUUAAUCCAACAUCGAGGUCGCAAUCUGCUUUGUCGAUAUGAGCUCUCAAAAACAAUUACGCUGUUACCCCUAAGGUAACUUAAUCUUAUGAUCAUAAAUUAUGGAUCAAAACAACAAACAUAAAUAAAUGAUAUAAUAAUGAAGAGUUUAUUUAUUCUUCA